CUAAAGGGCUUGUGUCAUGUGUGGCACAUUGUGGUCUCCUUUUAAGGGGCUGUGGUGCAGAAUCUACAUCAAGUGAUUUCAGAAGUAUUAUUUUAGUUAGGGGGGCUGCCUGUGAUCAUCACACCUGGCACAA